rnacentral:rRNA from 1 species
AAGUGGAGCAAUCCAUGAGUAAAGUGGCGACCGGGUGAGUAACACGUGACCAAUCUACCCUUGAGUGGGGGAUAACCUCGGGAAACCGGGGCUAAUACCGCAUAAUAUCUCCGGAUCGGAAGAACUGGAGAUCAAAGGAGCAAUUCGCUUAAGGAGGAGGUCGCGGUUGAUUAGCUAGUUGGCGGGGUAAUGGCCCACCAAGGCAAAGAUCGGUAGCCGGCCUGAGAGGGCGCACGGCCACACUGGAACUGAAACACGGUCCAGACUCCUACGGGAGGCAGCAGUGGGGAAUUUUGCGCAAUGGGGGAAACCCUGACGCAGCAACGCCGCGUGGAGGAUGAAGUCCCUUGGG